AUGUGUAUUCUCAAUUUAGAAUAUAUGAAUGUUUGUCUUCUUGGGAAGUGCCUGUACAAAUUUGGAUCUGAAGAUGCAACUCACGUACUGCAGAAAAUUCUCAGUAGUCAGACUUUGUCAAGAGCCGAAGAAGGACCUAGGCACUCACAAUUUUGGAACUCCCUCAUGGGAUUUAAAGACCUGUUAUUUUCUUUCUAUACAAGGAAAAUUGGCAUCCCACCAGAUUCUUGGAGGAUCUGUCGAUGGGAGUGGUUUUUCAGCUCUGGGUGCCCCUACACCCCCUAUGAGGCUAUGAACAGUAAAGUAAAAAAAAUCUGA
rnacentral:rRNA from 1 species